GCCAGUUUAGCUCAGUGGUAGAGCAUCGCACUCGUAAUGCGAGGGUCGCGGGUUCAAAUCCCGCAACUGGCU
rnacentral:tRNA from 3 species